UAGAGUGAGGGGGUGACUAGUGACAGAGUGAGGGGGUGACAGGUGAUAGAGUGAGGGAAGGGGUGACUAGUGGCAGAGUGAGGGAUGGGGUGACUAGUGACAGAGUCACCCCCUCCCUCUGUCACUAGUCACUCCCUCACUCUGUCACCAGUCAUCCCCUCACUCUGUCACCAGUCACCCCUUCCCUCCCUCACUCUGCCACUAGUCAUCUUUUCCCUCCCUCACUCUGCCACUAGUCACCCAUUCCCUAACUC